UACGUAGGCAGCGAGCGUUGUUCGGAAUUACUGGGCGUAAAGAGUGUGUAGGCGGUGCUCCCAGUCUGUUGUGAAAUCUCCCGGCUUAACUGGGAGGGUGCAGCGGAAACUAGAGUGCUAGAGGGUGGGAGAGGUAAGCGGAAUUCCUGGUGUAGCGGUGAAAUGCGUAGAUAUCAGGAGGAACACCUGUGGUGUAGACAGCUUACUGGACCACUUCUGACGCUGAGACAGAAAGCGUGGGUAGCAAACAGG
rnacentral:rRNA from 1 species